GCUCAGGAUGAACGCUGGCGGCGUGCCUAAUACAUGCAAGUAGAACGCUGAAGACUUUAGCUUGCUAAAGUUGGAAGAGUUGCGAACGGGUGAGUAACGCGUAGGUAACCUGCCUACUAGCGGGGGAUAACUAUUGGAAACGAUAGCUAGUACCGCAUAACAGCAUUUAACCCAUGUUAGAUGCUUGAAAGGAGCAAUUGCUUCACUAGUAGAUGGACCUGCGUUGUAUUAGCUAGUUGGUGAGGUAACGGCUCACCAAGGCGACGAUACAUAGCCGACCUGAGAGGGUGAUCGGCCACACUGGGACUGAGACACGGCCCAGACUCCUACGGGAGGCAGCAGUA
rnacentral:rRNA from 1 species